UACGUAGGGUGCGAGCGUUGUCCGGAAUUAUUGGGCGUAAAGAGCUUCGUAGGCGGUCUGUCGCGUCGGUCGUGAAAACUUGGGGCUUAACCCUGAGCUUGCGGUCGAUACGGGCAUGACUGGAGUUCGGCAGGGGAGACUGGAAUUCCUGGUGUAGCGGUGAAAUGCGCAGAUAUCAGGAGGAACACCGGUGGCGAAGGCGGGUCUCUGGGCCGAUACUGACGCUGAGGAGCGAAAGCGUGGGGAGCGAACAGG
rnacentral:rRNA from 1 species